AUGGUUGAUGAAGGUGAUAGCGAUGCAUGAUGGGUUUCUUGAUGCCAAAAGCAACCGGAGGCUAGGAUUUGGAUAUUAAUGAAUCACAUAACAAGUCCAACCACGUUGAAUUUCAGAAAAUGGGGAUCAAUAGGGACAUGUCCACUCGUGGAAUGCUCCACUCCAUUGGACCAGAUCUCACACACACAUGGGGCAAAUCUGAAACACAUCAAAAUGGCUCUAUAAGAAGCAAGCAA